GAUCCUACGGGGGGCAGCAGUAGGGAAUCUUCCACAAUGGACGAAAGUCUGAUGGAGCAACGCCGCGUGAGUGAAGAAGGGUUCGGCUCGUAAAGCUCUGUUGGGAGUGAAGAAAGAUAGAGGGAGUAAAUGGCCUUUAUUUGACGGGAAUUACUUAGAAAGUCACGGCUAACUACGUGCCAGCAGCCGCGGGAAAAAGUAGGUGGCAAGCGUUGUCCGGAUUUAUUGGGCGUAAAGCGAGGGCAGGGGGGUCAAAAAAUAU
rnacentral:rRNA from 1 species